rnacentral:rRNA from 1 species
GAUGAACGCUAGCGGGAGGCUUAACACAUGCAAGUCGAGGGGCAGCAUAGGGUAGCAAUACUCUGAUGGCGACCGGCAAACGGGUGAGUAACGCGUAUGCAACCUACCCUGUACAGGGGGAUAACCCGGAGAAAUUCGGACUAAUAUCCCGUAAUAAUAUCCGGAGGCAUCUUUGGAUAUUUAAAGUUCCGACGGUACGGGAUGGGCAUGCGUAACAUUAGCUGGUUGGUAAGGUAACGGCUUACCAAGGCUAUGAUGUUUAGGGGUCCUGAGAGGGUGGUCCCCCACACUGGUACUGAGACACGGACCAGACUCCUACGGGAGGCAGCAGUGAGGAAUAUUGGUCAAUGGGCGCAAGCCUGAACCAGCCAUCCCGCGUGCAGGAAGACGGCCCUAUGGGUUGUAAACUGCUUUUCCAGGGAGAGAACUUACGCACGUGUUGCGUGACUGACGGUACCCUGGGAAUAAGCAUCGGCUAACUCCGUGCCAGCAGCCGCGGUAAAAGUGUGUGUAC